AGAUGUCUUUAUGUUAAAGGAACCUACUUGAACUUGCUUGCCUCUAGCUUAUAUGAGGAACAUGCACAAAUUACUUCUGAUAAAGGACUAACUGCAUGAAUGAUGUUCACAGGUAGGAAAAGUGCAAUUUUCUAUCUCAGUUCUUGCCAUGCAGCCUUUUGGGCUUCAGGUGUUUUUUUUAUGACCCCCAUAGGACUGUACUCAAGGCUUCUCCCAAAUAAUAGCAUCAGUUUUAGGAGAGUGCUUGAGGAUUCCACAUUCCUGCCAACCCAGGAACAGGAAUGCCAAGUGUGCUUCCAUUUCAGACUAUCUGAUUAACCUUUUAUUAAGUCUAUGAAAAGUUAUUGAACCAACUCAGACACUUUGAGUUUCAAAGGCCCUAUCUUUUCUUCUAUGCACAGGAAGCCUGCAAUUCUGGGCAGCUUCCGAGGCUCACUGCUCUCAUGAACACCCAGAGCUUGCUGAGGUGCAGGGUGCAGAUUGCAGAGUUGCCCUUCAGUGGGAACAAAAGCCAUUUCAGCUGGUGCCACUCAAGCCAGGGGAUAGAGAGACUGAUCCCAAAGCCAGUGUGUGGACAAGAUGGAUCAGGGACCCUGCAUCUGGGAUGUGUGUCCCGGAAGGCCAAGAUUUGGGCCUUUGAGCAGGUAUACCCACCAUUCAGUCUGCAGCUGCCUGCCCCUCUGCCAUGGGGAACAAGCACCCGGGAAACUAUGAUGUCCUCUGCUUGUAUCCCUGACCCCUUCUGCUCCAGUGCAGGCUGAAGCUUUUGGGCAAUGCUUGGUGCUGGAGCAUUUGUAAGGCCAUUUUCUGCUCUCAUUCAUUCUCCUGCUGUCUAGUGAAAGAGUGUGUAUGGAAGACCUCUCUUCCCUAUCCAUGUAAGGGUAACAUUCUCAUGAAAAUUCACAGGAAUUGGGCUACUGCAGAGAUUCUCAUGUCGUGCUUGACUGAAACCAGCCAGCAGUUUCAAGAGCUUCUGUAUGGGCAGUAUCUGACCCUGUAUAAUUUGCUCCCAUAGAAAACCAAGCUUAAACAAACCCUGAGUUGACCUAAGUGCCUUUGCAGAAGAUGGCAUUUUUUCACUUGUCCCUUUUCCCUGGAGCUCCUUAGAAGUAGCUGAGUUCUUAUAUAGCCUUUUCAUUCCGGUCUUCCAGAAAGUACUUUUCUGACGUACCUGAAUAUGCUUGCAAGCUGCUGUUUUUCUUCAGAAGACUAUGGUAGCAUUAGUGCCUGGCAACACAGGGACCAUUUCUUCCAAACAAAAAGCAAAAGUUCUUUCAGGAAGGCCUGAAAUAUGUAUAGCUUGAAAUCUCCUCCAGGAAUGUCACUUAUGGUGCUUGUUUGGACAGGUGAGGAAUAUCAGAUACGCAUUUUUAUCUACUCAACCUGCACAUCUCUUCCUACAAUCUAUCACAACUGAAAAUGUGCAUUUAAUCCUUGCGGUGUCUGCAAGACACUUCAGGCUCCUCUGAGGUCCUCUGAAGCUGUGAAGUGUUUCACAAUGUAUCAAGAGGUAAUUUGCAUUGAGAAUCAAUAUGCUAAUUGUUGUGUCAACACUGUUUUGCUGUGUUUCUUGGCUCCUUGUCCUGGGCACGCAGCUACGAGCAGCCUCAGCUCGUCUGCGAUGUGCAAGAUGUGCUGUAGCCAUGCGAUACUCACAGAGCUUGUUGGAAGAGAUGCAACCUGAAGAUGAAGAAGGCCUGGAAACAUCAAUUUAAUUGGAUGAAGAAAUUAGAGAGCUUUUGCUUGGGUGGUAAGUUAACUAAAUAUUGAUUAAAAUGAAACAAUUGUCAAACAGAUGACAGCCAUACCAAAGCUUAUGGUUUAUGCAAUGUUAAAUGUUUUUGGAAUACAAGUGUCAAAUAUGAGCCCAAAGAUGUUCUACUUCUUCAUUUUAUUUAUCUCUAACACGGCUGUGCCCUGAGUCACAGACCAAAAAUAGCUGUGCCAGGCACUGUGCUACCUCAGAACAAAAAAAAAAAAUAAUGGAUUUUUUUGGCUUCUUCUCCAGGCUCACAGCUCUUUUAACACUAAAGAUAUGCCUGGGAGGAGCAUGAGGAAUGGGCAGUGGCAUGGCUUAAAACAUCAUGGCUCCCAGCUUUAAGAAAUACAAACACAGGAAGCACUCAACGUAGGACUGCAGAGCAGUUGUCCAAAGAGUUCCCACCAUAGAAUACUCUGUGACAGGGAGAGGCUAAGAGCCAUCCAGGAGUUCAGCCAAAAUGGCCCUGGGAGCCUGGAGAAAGUAACCAGGUGGCUCUGGUUGUCUCUGAUAGACUUGUUAGCUCUUAAUUGCUCCAUGGUAGCUAAUAACUAAGCUGCAUAGCAAGGGUUAUAAUGCUAACUUGGAUUAUACUUCCAGACUUGCUUUAGGGGCUAUGGAUACGUGCGAGGCAUGGGGUAGAAGUCUGAGGUGGAAGAGUGCUAUGAAUUUGGGUAAGUAGUCGUACGGGUUGGAUGUGCCUCUUUACUCACCCUUGGUGUCCCUGGACACCUGAAAACAGAGACAGAAGAGACAGGUGUGUGCCUGAGAGCUCCUCACUUUCCAGGGAUUUCCAAGACGAAGGAGAGUGAGUUACAGGUAAAGCUGCAUCCUAUUGAUUCACUCCUCAUCUGGGAAGAAGCCUUCUGGGUCACUGCUUUUCCAGCUCUCUAUAGCCUGCUGUCAACCCAGUAGUACACAACCCACUGAACUCAAAGGUGCUUUACCAAAUAGCAUUACUCAUCCCCACAGCAACUAAUGGCCCCUAAACACCCAUCCUGUUUAUGUCUUCCCCAGGACAUGUGUAUCAGCUGUGGAUCCCAGACACAGAGGAGCAUGGGCUGGCUGUAGGUUGGGCAAUGCUAGGGCAGUCCCAGACCUCCUUCAGGCUUAGUCCACAUCUCCAACAUGAGGAAAACAGAUCUUUACCACAGAGAUGAAAAGAAAACAUUAGGGAGGGUUUAUAGUCUGUUUAUAUUACAAAUAAUAUUCAGAUAUAAUUUUUUGUAAGUCUCCAAGAUGAAGAGCUAGAAAAAAAUUAAUAGAUGGUGUUACCCCACACCCCAGGCGACCAUCAAACACUUCUUUUCAGGAGCGAGUCUUUAUCAGAGCUGCCAAGGCUGGAGGGUACCAAGCCCCCACGGGCUGAUGGCAAACCUUUUCCUUUGAACAAACACAACUUUGGGUGGCUUUUCUGCCAAGGUGAAUGCUGAUACAUGCACAGAGAGAAGCUGACCCGGAGGUGAACUGCCCUGCCACUGGCUCAUCUCUCUCAUUCUGUUUUCUUUUGCUUUUCUUUUGCUGACAAAUUUCUGGGCUACAUUUACCAGGGUUAUGCUCUAAUACCUAGUCCAAUAUUUUGACUUUACGUGUCAGCUUUUUGUUUUCAACUAACUAUGAUCAGAUUACUGGUUUUCCUGAGGUUUUUCUCUUCAGAUUCACGAUUUUCAGCCAAGGAAGAGUGCUUCACCGUGCUGUGGGUGUGCUUGACACGUCCUGCUAACAACGGGAUGCUUUCACUCCUUUACCUGCAGUGAUUGACCUUGGAACGUGAGCAGCUCUGGCAGCAGGACCCCCUCCAGAGGCUGCUCUCACAGACGUGCAGUCAAGCAAAAUCAGCAUGACUUGAUCCGACCAGAAGGCAACACCGACACUUGGUAGACCCACAGUAUUUCACAAUGUUGUUGUUUCACAUCCAGCCGACAAAGGCCGCACAGUACCAUACACAGGCUGGCUCCACAGCUCCUUCAGCUCUCAGGUGUUUUCAAGGUGCAUCUGCAGCUCUCUCAGGCUGAAACAUGGUCUGAUAUCAAAAUGGCAGAAUAGGGAUUGAUUCAGGAGAAGAAAAGCCAGCAGCCCUAAAUGACAGGAAACCAGGAUGCUGGAACCUGCUUGGAAGAUAUGGGGACAUUUGUCUCCAACUCAUUCUCCUGACCCCCAGUCCUUGUGCACCACAUCAACAGCCAUGGGCUGUCCUGCCUAAAAGCUUCUGGCAGUAUUUCAUUGAGAAGCAUUUGCAAAUUCAGCUGGAACA